AGGCCGAACCAAAGAAUUAUUUUGCUAUAAGUUGAAGGCCGAGGCAAAGCAUAAUUCUUUAUUUCUCAUCUGGUGAGUCAAAUGAUGCCAUCCUACUUCGAUUGAACAAGCAAUAUAAAAAUAGUGUCUGGGUCAACUUUCGCGCCCUUCGACUUAUUCCACGGGAUACUUCCCACCUCCUACCAGCAACAUGUACCAGGUAACUAUGUCCACCAAGGCGAUGGGAAGAAUCUUUUGUCUUGGGAUUUGAACAUGAGACCUCAUGGAUCAACAGUAUGCAUCCUAGCUUAUCCAAGAAUUUUAACAA
rnacentral:misc_RNA from 1 species